CAAGCCUAACACAUGCAAGUCGAACGGACAAUUAUUUAUAGCCUCUGGCUAUAGGAAAUUGUUAGUGGCAGACGGGUGAGUAAUGCGUAGGAAUCUACCUAGUAGUACGGAAUAGCCAUUAGAAAUGGUGGGUAAUACUGUAUAAUCCCCGAGGGGGAAAGAUUUAUCGCUAUUAGAUGAGCCUACGUUAGAUUAGCUAGUUGGUGAGGUAAUGGCUUACCAAGGCUAUGAUCUAUAGCUGGUCUGAGAGGACGAUCAGCCACACUGGAACUGAGAUACGGUCCAGACUCCUACGGGAGGCAGCAGUGGGGAAUAUUGGACAAUGGGCGAAAGCCUGAUCCAGCUAUGCCGCGUGAGUGAAGAAGGCCUUCGGGUUGUAAAACUCUUUCAAUAGGGAAGAUAAUGACGGUACCUAUAGAAGAAGUCCCGGCAAACUCUGUGCCAGCAGCCGCGGUAAUACGGAGGGGGCAAGCGUUGUUCGGAAUUAUUGGGCGUAACAGGGCACGUAGGUGGACUAGUAAGUUAAAAGUGAAAUACCAAAGCUUAACUUUGGAGCGGCUUUUAAUACUGCUAGA
rnacentral:rRNA from 1 species